GAUGAAGAACGCAGCGAAAUGCGAUAAGUAGUGUGAAUUGCAGAAUUCAGUGAAUCAUCGAAUCUUUGAACGCACAUUGCGCCCUUUGGUAUUCCUUAGGGCAUGCCUGUUCGAGCGUCAUUUAAACCUUCAAGCUCAGCUUGGUGUUGGGUGACUGUCCGCUUCACCGCGGACUCGCCUCAAAAUUAUUGGCGGCCGGUACAUUGGCUUCGAGCGCAGCAGAAACGCGAACUCGGGCCCGUCGUAUUGGCUCCCAGAAGCUAUCUUCACAAUUUUGACCUCGGAUCAGGUAGGGAUACCCGCUGAACUUAAGCAUAUCAAUAAACGGAGGA
rnacentral:misc_RNA from 1 species